GCUAAAAAUAACCGGUCUGCUUUUAUUAUUAAAAGUGGUAUCUUGGUGUGUUUUUAGCAAUAAUGUCCUUUGAAAUGUUUUUUACUUUAUUGUGAGAAGCAAUUUUCAGGAUUUUUACUUUGAGAAAAUUAGAGUGUUUCAAGCAGGCUAACGUUUUGAAUACUGCAGCAUGGAAUAAUAAAAUAGGAUUUUAGUUCUACGUUAUUGGUUUUAAGAACUAAAUUAAUGAUUGAUAGGAGCAGUUGGGGGCAUUUGUAUUUAACUGUCAGAGGUGAAAUUCUUAGAUUUGUUAAAGACACACUACUGCGAAAGCAUUUGCCAAAGAUGUUUUCAUUAAUCAAGAACGAAAGUUAGGGGAUCGAAGACGAUCAGAUACCGUCGUAGUCCUACC
rnacentral:rRNA from 1 species